GACGAACGCUGGCGGUGUGCUUAACACAUGCAAGUCGAACGGAAAGGCACUGCUUUCGUGCGGUGCUCGAGUGGCGAAGGGGUGAGUAACACGUGAGUAACCUGCUCUUGUCUUUGGUAUAACUUCAGGGAACUGGGGCUAAUACCGUAUAGGAGCUCCUGCUCCAGUGUGGGCGUUGGAUAUUCUCGGCGGUCGGGGAUGGAUUCGCGGCUUAUCAGCUUGUUGGUGGGGUAGUGGCUUACCCAGGCUUUGAGGGGUAGCCGGCCUGAGUGGGUGACCGGCCACAUUGGGACUGAGAUGAGGCACAGACUGGUACGGGAGGCAGCAGUGGGGAAGAUUGCACAAUGGACGGAAGCCUGAUGCAGAAACGCCGCGUGCGGGAAAGCGGCCUUCGGGUUGUAGACCGCUUGCGGCUGUAACGAAGCGUGAGUGACGGUAAUGGGUAGAAAAGGACCGGCUAACUACGUG
rnacentral:rRNA from 1 species